AAUCGGCCGCCUCAAAAUUACCAAUCAUCGAUAGAGAGAAAUUUCAUCAAACGAAGCAGACUGGGAACCAGUUCGUCAUACUCAGUUCUCCAUGCAUUGUGGGGUUGAAAUUUGGCUUGUGUGUUUUCCUCAACCGCGAAAACUCGAAAUAUUUUAUCUUUGAAAAACAGAGACGAUAUGGGUUCCUAAACUUGCCACGUGAAAAUUGUGAUAGCUUGACUCUGCGGGAAUCUAGAAGGAAGUUCCCAAUGAAAUUAAACAGCUUGGACAGCAGACACGAACAGGCAUUCGACAGGUGUUUUAAGUUGUAAUUUCUGCGGCCAUGACCAAACAUAGUGGGAUGUGGGUUGGAUGUCUGAUGACGUCAUCAAAGGACAUUGCUGAAAACACUCGAGAGACAUUUGACUGGGUUUUGAGCGCUGUUUAAACAUAUUUCAGGUAUUUGGGCUUCAUAUUUUAUCAAAAAUGGACAAGACUUUUAAAUGAAAGAACUGUAUCAUCUAGCAAUACAAUAUACAGUCUAGCUAUGACUAGGACACCUGGAAUGUAUAUAUUUUUUCAAUUUUGAAGUUCAGGUGGCCAGUCAUUGAAGCCCGCCACACUGCAAUCACAAUCAACAAUUUACUGAUCCAUUUGGCCUAUAUUCUUUAAGGUUAAAACCAUGACUGAAGACUUAACUUACAGCCACUGAAGUGUAAUAAAAAUGUCAAUGAACACGAAAAAAUUCAGGGAAAAAUUUGUCUUUUCGCUUCGUUAUUGUUGAUUGACCGUGUUUAUACAAAGCCAAUUACUGAAUUAGUGUGUAUGAACAUGAACAUUGCGAGUUACACAAAUUUGCAUUUUUUGCACUAGUAAUUAAAAAUCUGACAAGGUUCAGUCUGGUAUCAGUUAAAUGAAGACAUUUCUCCUUCACUGUUCUUUUGUUUGAAAAGUCUUUUUUUAAGUAGGUUAAUAACGUGAAUGUUACGUUUUGGUCAAAAACAAGCACCCUCUGCUUUCAGCGCGACAAUCUUUGUCUGUUAAGUCGAAUCUAAAUGGUUUGUUUUACUUUGCUUAUAUACUUAUAAAUGUUUGAUUCACUGAGUUAUUUUUUUGUAAA